UGUGGAAUAUUGGUCAAUGGGCGAGAGCCUGAACCAGCCAAGUCGCGUGAAGGAAGAAGGUUCUAUGGAUUGUAAACUUCUUUUGCAGGGGAAUAAAGGACGGUAAGUGUACUGUUUUGUAUGUACCUUGCGAAUAAGGAUCGGCUAACUCGGUGCCAGCAGCCGCGGUAAGACGGAGGAUCCGAGCGUUAUCCGGAGUUAUUGGGUUUAAAGGGUGCGUAGGUGGAUUGUUAAGUCAGUGGUGAAAGUUUUCAGCUCAACUGAAAAAUUGCCGUUGAAACUGUCGAUCUUGAGUGCAAAUGAGGUAGACGGAAUGUGUAGUGUAGCGGUGAAAUGCUUAGAUAUAACACAGAACACCGAUUGCGAAGGCAGCUUACUGGGAUGUAACUGACACUGAUGCACGAAAGCGUGGGUAUCAAACA
rnacentral:rRNA from 1 species